rnacentral:rRNA from 1 species
CUACGGGUGGCAGCAGUGGGGAAUAUUGCACAAUGGGCGCAAACCUGAUGCAGCCAUGCCGCGUGUAUGAAGAAGGCCUUCGGGUUGUAAAGUACUUUCAGCGGGGAGGAAGGUAGUAAAGUUAAUACCUUUGCUCAUUGACGUUACCCGCAGAAUAAGCACCGGCUAACUCCGUGCCAGCAGCCGCGGUAAUACGGAGGGUGCAAGCGUUAAUCGGAAUUACUGGGCGUAAAGCGCACGCAGGCGGUUUGUUAAGUCAGAUGUGAAAUCCCCGGGCUCAACCUGGGAACUGCAUCUGAUACUGGCAAGCUUGAGUCUCGUAGAGGGGGGUAGAAUUCCAGGUGUAGCGGUGAAAUGCGUAGAGAUCUGGAGGAAUACCGGUGGCGAAGGCGGCCUCCUGGACGAAGACUGACGCUCAGGUGCGAAAGCGUGGGGAGCAAACAGGAUUAGAUACCCGUGUAGUC